GUGCUUGUUUCGGCAGCACAUACACUAAAAUUGGAACGAUACAGAGAUUAGCGUAGCUCCUGCACAAGAAUGACACACAAAUUCAUGAGUCGUUCCACAUUUUU
rnacentral:snRNA from 1 species